UGGAUGAUGUGGAUUAAUUCGAUGCAACGCGAAGAACCUUACUACCCUUGACAUGUCCGGAACUUGCCAGAGAUGGCUUGGUGCCCGAAAGGGAAUCGGAACACAGGUGCUGCAUGGCUGUCGUCAGCUCGUGUCGUGAGAUGUUGGGUUAAGUCCCGCAACGAGCGCAACCCUUAUCAUUAGUUGCUACGCAAGGGCACUCUAAUGAGACUGCCGGUGACAAACCGGAGGAAGGUGGGGAUGACGUCAAGUCCUCAUGGCCCUUAUGGGUAGGGCUUCACACGUCAUACAAUGGUCGGUACAGAGGGUUGCCAAGCCGCGAGGCGGAGCCAAUCCCACAAAGCCGAUCGUAGUCCGGAUUGUUCUCUGCAACUCGAGAGCAUGAAGUCGGAAUCGCUAGUAAUCGCAGGUCAGCAUACUGUGGUGAAUACGUUCCCGGGUCUU
rnacentral:rRNA from 1 species